rnacentral:lncRNA from 1 species
UAGUAAAGCUUAAGUAACUUAUUUAAGAGGGUAGCUAAGUUGACGGGAUUCUCAACAAUUUAUUCUGCCGUUACUCAUGAUAAUUUGUUUUCCUUUCAGUAUCAAAUUGGUGACAGCGAAGGACCAAAGGAAGAAAUGGAUGCAUCUGGAGUAUGUAAAACUUCCUAUGUGUCUAUUGAUUCCCAUACUCUCCUCAAACGGAAAAGCAAUUGCAAAUUACUUCCACCCUUACCAUUUGUUCAGCAUCCAGAGAAGGUUUGGAGUGCCGAUGUUGAUUCAAAACGAGAAGUUUUCUAUGAAUUCAACAAGGACCUUAGCCAAAUAAAAAGAAUUGCCUCUGAGGAGAGUCAUGUCUUUCAUGUCGCAGCUCGUGAAGAUGUUGGAAGUAUAAUCACCGCCAGACUUCAACUUUUGAAUUCAGGUAUUCCGUUUGAAGCCAAUGUUGCUGAUGCUCCAAGCGUAGAUCAGGCUGUACAAGUUCUCAGCAAAGAGUUAAGACUUUCGUUAUCAGGACAAUACUUAACGCUUCAGAGAGAAGUUUUGUCGUGUCAAGACGAUGCUGACUCCUGUCCCAAUCUAGCAAAGCUUGUCAAAGAGAAUCGGGAGGCACUGCAUGGCAAGAAUUUCGGAACUACGAGAUCAGCUUCACUCUUCAUCAAACUAAUUAAAGCAGUGAGGAAUGGAAAGAAGGAAGAAAUCAUUAAAGUCAUGAAACACUCUAAAAAUGCCAAUCUUCUGCCUCAAUUGUAUGAUGUGUUGGAACAGCCCAGACUAUUACCGCUCAUGAAGCUGCGAUGAAGCUACUCAACUUGAACAGUGAGGCAGAUGUUGACAAGGCUGAAAGGUAUUUUUGGGCGCUUGCUCUGGGCUCACAACCUUUGCAGGCUGUGAUUCAAGGUGACUAUUUUUUCUAAUCACUUGUAGUUAUACCCUUUUAAACAGAUAAAUAAAAAAGUAACUCAUCAAACUGCAUUGAAAAGUUUGAACGUUUCUUAUUUAUGUUUGCAGACUUCAAAUAAAAAUUUACCUCACAAUCACUUGUUUUAAUAAUCAGCGUAAGGGCUCCUAAAUAGCCAAAUUGCGAAUAGAUACUGAUUGAAAGAUACACAAAAUCUGAAUAUUAAACAAAUACUCAUGGCUAUGUAAAGUUUAAGCUUAAGCUUAAGUUAAAGCUAGGGCUGUGCGAAUAUUCGAAAAUCUCGAAUAUUCGAAAAUCUCGAAUAUUCGAGUUCGAAUAAUUUUUCCGAUAUUCGAUUCGAACUCGAACUUAGAAACCUCGAAUACUCGAAUUAUUCGAGAACAUUGACAAAACUUCGAAUAUCUAAAGAAAAAGACCGAAUACUCGCACAUUCGGCCAUAUUGAUGUCCAUAACCUAUCCUCCUCCACCUCGCGCAGCACCCUGGUCUUUACAAUGUUGCUGGACUAUCUUUGCAAGAUCAGCAUUGAUGUGCAGUAAAACAGAAUAAAAUUGAUUUACGGACAGUAAGCAGUAGUUUUACUGUUCCGCAACAGUUCAAUCAAUUGCUUGUCCUUAAUUAAAGGAAACUAUUUUCUCUCCCUUCUAAUCUUUCCCCAGCAAAUCAAAAUGUGUGCAUAACCAUUUGAUAAUUAAUGAAUUGAUUAAUUAUUGAUUUCUUUAUCUAUAAUAAAUUUCUUUAUUCAAAAUUUAAAUGUUAGAAAGAAAAUAAUUAUUUAUUCGAUUUAUACUUUGACUAACACAGAGGUUGCUUUUGGUUAAAAAUAGAUAAAAACUAAAAAUAUUCGAUUCGAUUCGAAUUCGAAACUUUUUCAAAAUAUUCGAUUCGAUUCGAUUCGACAUCAAAAAAACCACAUUCGCACAGCCCUAGUUAAAGCCUACCGCUUAACUGUGAAAAAAUGUGUUUCUUCUUUUUACGGAAAAUGUCAGUUCGUAUUCUAAAUAAUUAUAUACAAAGCUGAUUUUAAGUUAAUAAAUAAAAUAGUUUUAUGUUUCAGAUUUGUCAGCGUUGAUUGAGAAACCAAUCAAAGUGACAAGUUACGAGAAACAAUGACGCUAACUUUGGCAGCAAUGGCAAACCGUUUCCUGCAAUUGAAAGAAUCGGAUACCACACUCAAUAAACAGUCAAAGGAACAAGAAGUAUGACAAAGUCACAUUAUUAAAUACUUCUUUCAUUUUUACCUUUUGACAGAGCAUGAGGCACCCUUCAAUUACAAGCCUAGUUUGAAUUACUGUUUAACGCCUGCUUAGUGAAAAAUACACGUAAACCAAUAAAACAGGCGUGAAACCUUAAUAUUCUGGACCUGCAUUUCUCAAAAGUGGCACAUAAAAAGUUGAUUUUUCAAGCUUAUCGAGCUCAGGAGUUUGUAUGGAAAAUCACGGCUGAAAAUAACCAAAUUUUCCAGCGCUUAAUUCUUUUGUAUUCCUCUCCAU